rnacentral:misc_RNA from 1 species
CUGAACGAACUUCGCAAAAAAACGUACGUAUUCUUCCUGGGAAACGACGGCAAUCCUGCAGCCAAUGCAUUGACAGAAUUUUCUACCGACAUCAAAAAUCGCUCAGCAUCGCUUAACGGCCUCCGAGCAAAGAUUAUGGAAUUAAACAAGCCUUUACGGGCUAGUCGCUAAUGUCAGUCACCAAAACAGCUUUAAGCUUUCUUCAAUUCUGAAAACUGAAACCUGCAAAAUAACUCCGCUAGUCUAAGCAGCGCAUGCAUACAAUUUUCAACUUGAGCAUUGCGUUUUAUGGUGAAAUGAUUUAUCUAAGUCCAAGUUUGACGGGAGAUGAGCUUCAGAAAGCAGUUUAGGACAUAAUCUGGGAUGCAGAGGAAACCCUGUUAAUUGUUUCGCCGUACAUAAAAUUGGACGAAUAUUUUAAGCGGCUCUUUGACAAGC